UAAGCACCUCGUUAGGCGAGGCGUCUACACGUAUAUAGGCCACUGACCCCGAACGUCGAGAGACGCCCAGGGUCAGGACAGCUCCUCCCGGCUUAAGGGUUGAGCCCAAGUGGCUUCCGGAGUUUCCGGAUACGGCGUGUAGUGCCGAAGCUCUGACGAGUGGGGUGCGGC
rnacentral:sRNA from 1 species